rnacentral:lncRNA from 1 species
CCAAGUAAAUCCUCACCAGAUUGUCAACUGAGAGACAUUCUUCCAGUUCUGUGUGCCUGGAUCUGCCUGUAGUAGACAUACAAGGUGUUGCUCAGUCCAAAAUCCUAGGGAACGUCUAUAAAGGUUUCUUCACUUUUCUAAGCAAGUUGUCAUGCUCCUUCCUGACCCAAAGCCUACCACAAAUAAAGAACCUGUUAUCCUGUUUAUUUGUUUGUUUGUUUCUGUAGGUACACCAGCUACAUCCUAGUGUACUGACAGUUCUUCCUGCCUGAACUCAUGCAGACCUUGCUGGCUGUGGAUUGGAGAAGUGCAGAACCAUGGUUGGAAAUGUGAAGUAUUCCAGCAUGGGUUUAAUACCUCAAGAAUACGUUGCUUGGAUAGUGUGCAGUGAAUGGAGUGGUGUUAAAGGCAGUAAAGAUGAAUUUCAAGCGGAACACAUCAUCUGUCUUGGCUCGCUAUGCAAUGCGCUGUCCUAUAGAAUUUCCUUUAAAUACACAAUGGGUUUGUAGAGAAAACAUAUUUUUCUCCUGUAUUGUUCACUCCUUUUUACUUGGAAAAGUUAAUUAAGCAGACUAGGACAACAAAAUUUCUUCUAAGGAGAUAAAACAAAAACAAAAACAAACAAACAAACAAACAAAAACAAACAAACAAACAUCAUCAACAAAAAAACACACAAAAAAAAGAGCAGAGGGCUAAGUCCUUCAACUUGCAUACAUCUAAAAUUAAUUAGAAAAACUUGUAUCUAAAUCUACAAGUGCAUUUGUUUCUAUCCUAGUGCUUUUGAGGUCUGAAAUGUGGGGAUACAUUUUAUAUGCAAGUACAAAAUAUGUGGUUCAAAAUUUUCCUUUUUUAACUGUAAUGGGAGUUUUUUAUAAUCUUGCACAUUAUUUCAAAUGCAUGAAUUCCAUUCAAUAAAAAAAAAAAAAAUCCUCUCUAUUGGAACUGU